UACGUAGGGUGCGAGCGUUGUCCGGAUUUAUUGGGCGUAAAGAGCUCGUAGGCGGUUUGUCGCGUCGACUGUGAAAACCCACAGCUCAACUGUGGGCUUGCAGUCGAUACGGGCAGGCUAGAGUUCGGUUGGGGAGACUGGAAUUCCUGGUGUAGCGGUGAAAUGCGUAGAUAUCUGGAGGAAUACCGGUGGCGAAGGCGGCAUCCUGGACCGACAUUGACGCUGAACGGCGAAAGCUAGGGGAGCAAACGGG
rnacentral:rRNA from 1 species